rnacentral:rRNA from 1 species
UCAAAGAUUAAGCCAUGCAUGUCUCAGUACAAACUAAACAAAAAGUGAAACCGCGAAUGGCUCAUUAAAUCAGCUAUGAUUCAUUGGAUCUGUACACCCAGUUAGUGAACUUUACUUGGAUAACUGUGGUAAUUCUAGAGCUAAUACAUGCACAUACAGUCCCUAACCUUGUGAUAAUGCCUAUGUAUACUGUGGGAAGGGCGCUUUUAUUAGUAUCAAAACUGGUUUAUUCAGGCUGCGGUCUGUGAAACCCAAAUAUGAUGACUCUGGAUAACAUUUAGCUAAGUGCACAGUCUUCUGUACUGGCACUGCUUCUUUCAAGUGUCUGCCUUAUCAGCUUUCGAUUGUAAGUUAUGUGCUUACAAUGGCUAUAACGGGUAACGGGGAAUCAGGGUUCGAUUCCGGAGAGGGAGCCUGAGAAACGGCUACCACAUCUAAGGAAGGCAGCAGGCACGCAAAUUACCCACUCCCAGCACGGGGAGGUAGUGACGAAAAAUAACGAUGCAAGACUCAUCCGAGGCCUUGUAAUUGGAAUGAGUACACUUUAAACCAUUUAACAAGGAUCAAUUGGAGGGCAAGUCUGGUGCCAGCAGCCGCGGUAAUUCCAGCUCCAAUGGCGUAUAUUAAAGUUGUUGCGGUUAAAAAGCUCGUAGUUGGAUCUCAGUUAUGGACUGAUGGUUUCGCCUUAAUUGGCGUUUCCCUAUCACGCUCCUACACCGCUCACACAACAACUUAAGUUUGUGCGCACCACUAGCUCACAUGGGUUGCUCUUAACCGAGUGUCCCUAGUGGCUGGUAUGUUUACUUUGAAAAAAUUAGAGUGCUCAGAGCAGGCAACAAUUACAGCCUGAAUGGUUAUGCAUGGAAUAAUGGAAUAAGACCUCGGUUCCAUUUUACCAGUUUUCCUUUGGAACCCGAGGUAAUGACUAAGGGAGACAAACGGGGGCAUUUGUACUGCGACGCUAGAGGUGAAAUUCUUGGACCGUCGCAAGACAAACUACUGCGAAAGCAUUUGCCAAGGAUGUUUUCAUUAAUCAAGAACGAAAGUUAGAGGUUCGAAGGCGAUCAGAUACCGCCCUAGUUCUAACCAUAAACGAUGCUAACCAGCGAUCCGCCGGUGUUAUUCCCAUGACCCGGCGGGCAGCUUCCGGGAAACCAAAGUCUUUGAGUUCCGGGGGAAGUAUGGUUGCAAAGCUGAAACUUAAAGGAAUUGACGGAAGGGCACCACCAGGAGUGGAGCCUGCGGCUUAAUUUGACUCAACACGGGAAACCUCACCAGGCCCAGACACUGGAAGGAUGGACAGAUUGAGAGCUCUUUCUUGAUUCAGUGGGUGGUGGUGCAUGGCCGUUCUUAGUUGGUGGAGCGAUUUGUC